rnacentral:lncRNA from 1 species
AUUUUUCUUCCUUAUUUAAGAAAACCCCAGAUUUUCUGGGUGGCAGUGUGCUCAGUCCCAGGAGGUAAAUCAGAGGUAACUUCUUCCCCUCUGCCAAUUGUUGGGAGAGGGGUUAGGUAUAGGAGGCAGUUCUGGCCAAUGCCAUAUAAGGAGAAGCAAGAAGAGGAAAGUGACGGGGCUGGCCCGGUGGCGCAGCGGUUAAGUUCGCACGUUCCGCUUCUCGGCGGCCCGGAGUUCGCUGGUUCGGAUCCCAGGUGCGGACGUGGCGCUGCUUGGCAGCCAUGCUGUGGUAGGCGUCCCACGUAUAAACUAGAGGAAGAUGGGCACGGGUGUUAGCUCAGAGCCAGGCUUCCCCAGCAAAAAGAGGAGCACUGGCAGUAGUUAGCUGAGGGCUAAUCUUCCUCAAAAAAAAAAAAAAAAAAGAAGAAAGUCUUUUUUCUGCCAUCACCCUUUAUCCCCCUUCUAUUUGGAAUGUGGUUCCAUAAAACUUUGAUGAUUGAUACUUCAGCAGCCAUCCUGAGAGCAUCAGGGGAGAGCUCAUCACCUCACCGAGGACAUGCAGAACAGAAGCUGCAUGCUUUCCUCCUCACUUGACAAUGAAGGCAUUAUUCUCUUCUGCUUCACCCAGGAGUAGCUACCCUGGCCUGCUGAAGAUUGCAUGGCACUGGUCAGGACCAUGCCCUUGGACAAUACUGAGAAAUACACUGAGUCCCAGUAUGCUGCUAAGAAGAAACUGAGGAUGUCAUUCUUCCCUGAGCGAUGGUUAAAGGGGUUUAUUAGCAGCUUUGAUAGUUGCAAACAUGUUUUGAUCAAGUGCUGGUUUGGACUGUGUAUCAGUGGGAACUGUUUAAAUGUUCAAAUACAACAAAUUUAAUUGCUCACAUGAGUUUGCCUUUGAAAUAAGUAAAC